UUGAUGCCCUAAUCUCUAUGCCCUCAUGGGGUCAGGGAGACCUGCUGAGUUAUUUACUGCCUCAAGUCAGAUAAGUCUGGGCAUCAAGGUGGGCUGGUCCUAACUAGGAGGAGUGGAGGAGGAAGCUAGACUGUGCUGACCUGGAGUCCAGAACACUGAGGUUAUUGGGGGAGGAGUCUCCACUUGCACUUCCCAGAGAUCCCUCCAGCUCAACAUGUUCUAAGUUCAUUCCCCCAGCUUACCUGCCUCCUCUUUUCUCUACAGUGUUCAUAGUAUCCUGAGGAUUCCAGUCACACAGGCUCAAACCUGAGGAUCACCCCGGAUCCUUCCUCUCCGUUGUCCGGAAAAAUCCUACCUCCUAUCCUUUCUAACCCUCCAUCCCACUGUCACUCCUCUAAUUCAGAAAUUUCUCUCCUUUCUUCCCCCAUGCACCCCAAUCUCAUAUAGUGGUGUGAUAUGAUUUGGCUCUGUGUCCCCAACCAAAGCUCAUCUUGUAGUUCCCAUAAUCCCCAUGUGUUAUGGGAGGGACCUGGUGGGAGAUGAUUGAAUCAUGAGGGUGGGUCUUUCCCAUGCUGUUCUCGUGAUAGUGAAUGGGUCUCACGAGAUCUGAUGGUUUUAAAAAUGGGAGUUUCUCUGCACAAGCCCUCUCUUUGCCUGCUGCCAUCCACGUAAGAUGUGACUUGCUCCUCCUUGCCUUCUGCCAUGAUUGUGAGGCCUCCCCAGCCACGUGGAACUGUAAGUCCAAUGAAACUCUUUCUUUCGUAAAUUGCCCAGUCUCUAGUAUGUCUUUAUCAACAGUGUGAAAACGGACUAAUACAUGGUGCCAGGCUGAGCAUUUGGAAACAGUGUUCUAACAAUGCCACUCAUCUGUUCCAAAAUUGCCAAAGGAUCCACACUGCCUAGAGUGAAAUUCAAAUGUGAGCCUGUAAAUCAAAGCGCUUCAUGAGUUCUUCCCAACCUACCUUUCCAUCACAGCCCAACAUCAGGCAAACAGAACCACUGUCUUCUCCGUUCAUUUCCCACUUGGUUCUACUUCUGGGUUUUGCUCUGUUUGGCAUGUGUUUUCCUGCAUCACUGCAUUUCCGAGUCUUACCCAUCCUUCAAAGUUCAUGUCACAUCACCUCCUGCAAGAACAUUCUCUGAUCCUCUCCUGCGUGCAUAAUCACUCCCUCUUUUGGACUCCUGCAACCCUGUGUGCCACUCUUUCGCACUGAGUAAAAGUAUGUGCAUUUCAUAUGUUUCCAUUGGGUGAUAAGGUCUUUGAAAAUAAGGCCCUUACAGAUUCACCCUUCAUGGAGAAGAUGUAGGGAGACCCAAGAACUUGGAGUUUGGCUGGUUUGUAGGAAAUGUAACAAAGUUUGGGGGAAUAAUUUUGGAAAGGUAGGUUGGAAUCAUAUUGUGACUCCAGGGUAAUAGUUAAAAGUGCUUGGGAGUCAUCUGCAGACGUAUGAAGCUAGAUGAGGCAAUCCUGAGAAAAAAUAUCAAAUGUGAAGGGAAAGUGCCCAUCCCUGGAACCACAGGGAACAUUAGCCUGCAAGUAUCCACUGGAAAAUAAAAAAUCAUGGAGACUGGCAGGAAAUGGCUGUAUAGAAUGGAAGUCAGUCACAACAUCCAUACCACACUGGGCAUAAAAAGAAUUUCAGCCCUGUUGGUCAGCCACGAUACAUGCGCUUGAAUAAUUCUGACCGAAUCCUGUAUGGCUUUUUUUUUCUCUAGAAUUGCAAAUAGGGAAGACCAUGCUGACAGACUUGUGGAUCCUUAAUUCAGGACAUUUUAAAAAGGCAAUCACUUGCCCACAUUCUAUUCCUAAUCAGUGGGGCUUCCCAAACCCAGUACACCGGAGACAUCUACAAAUAUGUAGAACUCGCAGAAGUAACGCCUGACCAAGGAACACACGAAUGGGAACAAGGAGUAUUCCUGGUCAUCUGAUUUGUUUCUGUGUUGGCUUCCCAGUCCCAAAAGUGACUCCUAAGGUCAUUACAAUUAUUAAAACCAGAGAACAAGCACAGGGACCCAGAGGAAGUCAGCAGGAGGGGGAACUAGUCCUACAACCACAUAGGACCUGCCCCGUGUCAAUUCAAUUGAAUUCAGCACAGACAAACUGCUGAGCUCCCCGGAGGUGAAAGCCCUGACCUGGGCAGAUGUUUACCUGAUCAAAACAGGGAGGUCCUCCCAAGCCAGCCCUGCUAAAGAUCCCACCUGAGACCACAAUUUUCUUACACCUUAUUCUAACACAAUGGAGGUCAACUUAUUCAUUUCAAGGGUUCUAGAAAUGUUUGAUUCAAAUUACAUUUAAAAAUAUUUUUAAAAUGGUAAACACAGACAAGUGUGUGAUACCAAAUGUGAACAAUCAUAGACCCCAGUGGUUUACAUGAGCCACAGGUUAUAAUAUACUCAUGCCCGCUUCAGAAUAAAGGUUCUCCUGCCAAAACCAUGAAUAUGUUUGAACACAUGUAGAUGUGUCAUUAAUUGGGAAAGCUGUAGUUCCAAAAAGAUCUUUCAACUGUUCGGAUCCAUGCAAGUAUUCUUAUGCUGUAAAACUGUAUGAGCAAGUACACUACCAUCACCCUGGCCCCCUAGCGCCAUGCUCAAUUAAAGGCCAGGAAGGGCUCAGGGACUUCCCUGGAAUGUAUGCUCUUAUAAAGACGUAAUACUAAACUAUACGGUAAUAUGUGACCACAUAACAUGCUGUACCAUGGUAAGUAUUACCAGUAGCAUUAUUAUUAGUAUUAUUAGCAUUACUAGUAGCAUGCUUAUUUUGAUGUUAGACUGAUCAAGACCAACAGUAAUGCAGGGCCAUUCUAUUACUGCUUCUCUUGUGGCCGAUAGCGUCCAUGAUGAAACUGACAACUGAAGUUUGAGCUCAAAAUGCCAGAUUAAACAUGUUUUGCUGUGUUAAAGGCUUUAAGUGAUUACUACAGAGAAACAAACACUGGAGUUUCUGAAAAAAAAAUUAACAACAUAAUUAACCUCUCAUGAUGAUACAACAUAAUUUUGGGAAGAAUUUUCUGCCAAAGAUAUAAAUUGGUGAAUCUAAGUGAAAGAAUCUGUUCCUUUCCAUUAGACCUCUUAUAAUUAAACAAUUGUUACAUAGUGUUAGUGAGUCAACAUUAAAACCAAUUCUUCCUAUAUUUAUCUUUCAUGUUUCUAGAUCAUUGAAAUCAGAAUAGCCUGAAUCUGUAAGGUAUCUUGUUUAAAAGUGCUAUAAUUUCCAAUAUCUAGCUGUUGCAUGUUGUACAGUCAAUAUAAAAUACAGGGGUACACUUGAUAGUGAGAAUGUCAUGAGGCUACAGUGUUCAUCCCAAACCCUCAAUUUCAAAUUUUCAUAACAUUCUCAUUGUUUUCAUUAACUGUAUGUUAAAAACUAAAUUUAUCAAGCUAAUAUAUAUAACAAAAUGUUGGUUUGCUCUGUUAUAGUCAUUAAUAUUCCACAUAAGAUUUCAUUGAAGAGUUUUAAUGCUGAAAAGUUUCCAAAAAUCACUGUAACAUUUAAUAUAUAGGAAAAACCCAAAAUAUGAAGCAGGAAAAGAUGUAAGAAACAGAUCUUUUUGGUUAGAAAGGCAGAAGUAGAAAAGGGUGAGAGUAAUUCAACCACAACUCCAGAUACAAGCUUGAGAAUAAAAAAAAUGCUUUUUGAAUUAAUCAAUGAAGCAGAAAUAGUGUGUCCCUUGCUCCUGGAAUUGGGAGAGGGGAAACUUUGGGACUGGAGAAACAGAGAAGGCCAUAGAGGAAGUUUUGCUUUCCCGAUGAGAACCAUCUUCCCAUAGGCAAAUAAGAAGGCUUCUCUGUGGGAAGCAGGGCAGACCAAAGAGAUGAUGGUCUUUGGGUAGCCAAGUGUAGCCACUGAUCAUUAGGGCCAGCGUAACUGAGGUGUCAGCACAACAGAAAGGAGGCCUUAAGCAGUGAGAUUUCUGGACUUGUGGUAGAGAAAAAGUGGUGACCAGACAUGUGAUUCCGGGGAAGGAGGCUAAAGGGAAAGUGCAGCCUGGAGGGCAGAAGCAAAGCACAGGACACAGAAAUCAUUCAUUCACUCAUUAAUUAAUGAAGCUCCUAUUAAUACAGGCAUUUGAUUGGGCACUGCAGUUACAAAGAUAAAUAAGCCUCAGUCAGUGUCUCCUAGGGGGAGGAGAGGUUGUUACCAAGGGGAAGCCCAAGGAGCUAUAAGGAUGGCAGAGGAAGGGGUCAUAGCUUCCUGGAAGAGGUACCCCCAGAGGUCAGUCUCAAAGAAGUAGGAGUUAAUCAAGCAGAUAAUAGCUGAGAAUGGGGGAGGAUGAGCACCUCUCAACUCAAAGAGCAUUCCUGGAGAAAGACACGAUUUGAGAGAGAGAAUUGUAUAGCUGGGGAAGAGCAAGUGGAUGAAAAUGAGUGAGGCACAAAGUGAAAGGAAGGGAAAGUGAGAGAGGAAACUGUUGAGGGGGCUGGGGCCAGGUCAUGGGAGGCCUGGUGUGUUCUGCAAGGGAGCUCAGACUCUCUCCUAGCAACAGUAGGGAGCCACUGAGGAUGCUAAGCUGGGAAGCUGCACUCACACUUCCCUAUUCAAUUUCUCCACUCUAUUUGCUUGUGUGGCCUCCCAUAAACAUCGCCAAGAGCAGGAACUAUUUUUUUCAUCUUUUCACCUUUAUAUCCUUGGAGCUUAGCAUAGUCCCCAGAAUGCAACAGGAACUUAGCACUUAUUGUUAUAUGAACUAAUGAAUGAAUGAGCAAAGUGCCAAGUAGGGAAAGAAGAGGCUGG
rnacentral:lncRNA from 10 species